rnacentral:rRNA from 1 species
UACGUAGGGUGCAGGCGUUAAUCGGAAUUACUGGGCGUAAAGCGUGCGCAGGCGGUCUUUUAAGUCAGAUGUGAAAUCCCCGGGCUUAACCUGGGAACUGCGUUUGAAACUGGAAGGCUUGAGUGUGGCAGAGGGGGGUGGAAUUCCGCGUGUAGCAGUGAAAUGCGUAGAUAUGCGGAGGAACACCGAUGGCGAAGGCAGCCUCCUGGGAUAACACUGACGCUCAUGCACGAAAGCGUGGGGAGCAAACAGG